UACGAAGGGUGCAAGCGUUACUCGGAAUUACUGGGCGUAAAGCGUGCGCAGGCGGUUAUGUAAGACAGAUGUGAAAUCCCCGGGCUCAACCUGGGAACUGCAUUUGUGACUGCAAGGCUAGAGUACGGGUAGAGGGGGAUGGAAUUCCGCGUGUAGCAGUGAAAUGCGUAGAUAUGCGGAGGAACACCGAUGGCGAAGGCAAUCCCCUGGACCUGUACUGACGCUCAUGCACGAAAGCGUGGGGAGCAAACAGG
rnacentral:rRNA from 1 species